rnacentral:tmRNA from 1 species
GGGGCUGUUAUUUGGUUUUCGACGAUUGAAAUUUACAUAAACUUAUCAAACUAUGUUUGAAUACAUAUCUAAAACAAAGCAAACUUGUUUUGCUUAAUUUUCUGAGAAUUUUCUGCCUUUAACAGGUUAAUAUUUUUUUCUUUAAUCAUUUUAGAAAAUCUUAUAUUAAAUUUUCUAAAUGUUUGUAAUUUUAAUUGAAUUUAUUAAAGUUUAAGUGUAUACUAAAUAAAAGAGUUUUAGUUUUCAGUCGGAUGUAGGUUCAAAUCCUACCAGCUCCA